rnacentral:rRNA from 1 species
AGUGAACGCUGGCGGCAGGCCUAACACAUGCAAGUCGAGCGGCAGCGCGGGGGCAACCCUGGCGGCGAGCGGCGGACGGGUGAGGAAUUCGUCGGAAUCUGCCUUUUUGUGGGGGAUAACGUAGGGAAACUUACGCUAAUACCGCAUACGUCCUACGGGAGAAAGUGGGGGACCGCAAGGCCUCACGCAGAAAGAUGAGCCGACGACCGAUUAGCUAGUUGGUGGGGUAAAGGCCCACCAAGGCGACGAUCGGUAGCUGGUCUGAGAGGAUGAUCAGCCAAACUGAGACUGAGACACGGCCCAGACUCCUACGGGAGGCAGCAGUGGGGAAUAUUGGACAAUGGGCGCAAGCCUGAUCCAGCCAUGACGCGUGUGUGAAGAAGGCAUUCGGGUUGUAAAGCACUUUUGUCCGGAAAGAAAUCCCUGGAGCUAAUACCUUCGGGGGAUGACGGUACCGGAAGAAUAAGCACCGGCUAACUUCGUG